rnacentral:rRNA from 1 species
AUUGAACGCUGGCGGCAGGCCUAACACAUGCAGGUCGAGCGGCAGCGGGAAAGUAGCCUGCUACUUUUGCCGGCGAGCGGCGGACGGGUGAGUAAUGCCUGGGAAAUUGCCCAGUCGAGGGGGAUAACAGUUGGAAACGACUGCUAAUACCGCAUACGCUCUACGGGGGACAGCAGGGGACCUUCGGGCCUUGCGCGGUUGGAUAUGCCCAGGUGGGAUUAGCUAGUUGGUGAGGUAAUGGCUGACCAAGGCGACGAUCCCUAGCUGGUCUGAGAGGAUGAUCAGCCACACUGGAAAUGAGACACGGGCCAGACUCCUACGGGAGGCAGCAGUGGGGAAUAUUGCACAAUGGGGGAAACCCUGAUGCAGCCAUGCCGCGUGUGUGAAGAAGGCCUUCGGGUUGUAAAGCACUUUCAGCGAGGAGGAAAGGUUGAUGCCUAAUACGUAUCAACUGUGACGUUACUCGCAAAAGAAGCACCGGCUAACUCCGUGCCAGCCGCCGCAGUAACAC